UCUCGAUUGGUCUAGUGGUCAGGAUACCUGCUUGUCAUUCGUCGAUGAAAAAUCGUGGAACAAGCCGCAGGUGGCCGGGGUUCGAUUCCCCGAUCGAGAG